rnacentral:rRNA from 1 species
UACAGAGGGUGCAAGCGUUGUUCGGAAUUAUUGGGCGUAAAGGGCGCGUAGGCGGCGCGACAAGUCACCUGUGAAAUCCCCGGGCUUAACUCGGGGCCUGCAGGCGAAACUGUCGUGCUGGAGUAUGGGAGAGGUGCGUGGAAUUGCAGGUGUAGCGGUGAAAUGCGUAGAUAUCUGCAGGAACACCCGUGGCGAAAGCGGCGCGCUGGACCACUACUGACGCUGAGGAACGAAAGCUAGGGGAGCAAACAG